rnacentral:lncRNA from 1 species
GCCAGCUGCUGUGGGGGAUAGACCGCAGAAUCGCACUGUCGCCAGGAAAAGGCAAGUCUACGUGAUUGGAGACUCUUUACUGAGAAGAGCAGACAGGCCUGUAACUAGACCUGAUCGGGAGAACAGAAGGGUGUGCUGUCUGCCAGGGGCUAAGAUACAGGAUGUGGACCUGAGGCUGAAUACGAUCUUAGCGGGAGCGGGAAAGAAUCCGUUGAUUAUCCUUCAUGUGGGAACGAAUGAUACGGCUAGUUACUCGCUGGACUGUAUCAAGGAGGACUAUGCCAGACUGGGGAAGAGGCUCAAAGACAUCGAGGCUCAGGUGAUCUUCAGUGGGAUUCUGCCGGUUCCUAGAGCGGGGCGACGAAGGAGUGACAAGAUUAUGGCGAUCAACAGAUGGCUUAGGGAGUGGUGUUAUAAGGAGGGCUUUGGGAUGUACGGUCACUGGGAAGCGUUUACGGAUAGACGACUGUUCGCUCAGGAUGGACUUCAUCUAAGCAAGGAGGGAAAUAGAAUUCUAGGAUGGAGGCUCGCCGACCUCAUCAAGAGAGCUUUAAACUAGGAAGUUGGGGGAGAUGGUUGGGAGAUGUUCGGGAGAUCUCCACGCCGGAAUAUAACCUGGAGAGGAAAGUAAACAAAGUGAGAGGGGAUACCCUUGUGGUCCCAAGAUUUGAUCCAAGGAGGAAUAGUGGAGAAACCAGAGUAGCGGGUGAUGCUGGUGGUAAAAGGUCUCUGCACGACGGGGGAAAGAAUGUCACUGAUGCCAAACGCCGAAAAUUAAAAGGUCUGUACACUAAUGCGAGGAGUCUAGGUAACAAGAUGGAGGAACUGGAGUUACUGGUGCAGGAAGUGAAACCGGAUAUUAUAGGGAUAACUGAAACCUGGUGGAAUAGUACUCAUGACUGGAGCACGGGUAUUGAAGGCUAUGUGCUGUUUAGAAAAGACAGGAAGAAAGGCAAAGGUGGUGGAGUAGCCUUGUACAUCAAUGAUGAAAUUAACUGUAGCGAAAUAAGAAGCGAUGGAAUGGAUAAGACAGAGUCUGUCUGGGCGAAAAUCACACUGGGUAAAAAAGCAACUAGAGCUUCCCCUGAGAUAGUGCUUGGCGUGUGCUACAGACCGCCGGGAUCUGAUUGGGAUAUGGAUAGAGACCUCUUUAAUGUCUUUAAUGAAGUAAACACAAAGGGGAAAUGUGUGAUUAUGGGAGACUUCAACUUCCCGGAUAUAGACUGGAGGACGAGUACUUGCAAGAAUAAUAGGGGUCAGAUUUUUCUGGAUGUGAUAGCGGAUGGAUUUCUUCAUCAAGUAGUUGAAGUACCUACGAGAGGAGAUGCCAUUUUAGAUUUGGUGUUGGUGAGCAGUGAGGACCUCGUAGAAGAAAUGGUGGUAGGGGACAACCUUGGUUCGAGUGAUCAUGAGCUGAUUCAGUUCAAACUAGAUGGAAGGAUAAACAAAUGUAGAUCUGGGAUUAGGGUUUUUGACUUCUCGAGGGCUAAUUUUAAAGAGUUAAGGAAAUUAGUUAGGGAAGUGGAUUGGACGGAGGAAUUAGUGGAUUUGAAUGCGGAGGAGGCCUGGAAUUACUUUAAGUCGCAGCUGCGGAGACUGUCGGAAGCCUGCAUCCCGAGAAAGGGGAAAAAAACCAUGGGCAGGAGUCGUAGGCCAAACUGGAUGAGCAAACAACUCAGAGAGGGGAUUAGACAAAAGCAGACAGCUUACAGGGAGUGGAAGAAAGGCAGGAUCAGUAAGGAAAGCUACCUUGGUGAGGUCAGAACAUGUAGGGAUAAAGUGAGGAAGGCUAAAAGCCGCAUUGAACUGGACCUUGCAAAGGGAAUCAAAACCAAUAGUAAAAGGUUCUACAGCCACAUAAAUAAGAAGAAAACAAAGAAAGAAGAAGUGGGGCCGCUAUACACUGAGGAUGGAAUGGAGGUUAAGGAUAACCUAGGCAUGGCCCAACAUCUAAACAAGUACUUUGCUUCAGUUUUUAAUAAGACUAGUGAGGAACCUUGCGAUGAUGGAGGGAUGAUAAACGGGAAUGUGGAUAUGGAAGUGGAUAUUACCGCAACUGAGGUAGAGGCCGUACUUGAACAGCUCGAUGGGACGAAGUCGGAGGGCCCGGACAAUCUCCAUCCGAGGAUAUUAAAGGAACUGGCGCGUGAAAUUGCGAGCCCGUUAGCGAGAAUUUUUAAGCAAUCGAUAAACUCGGGGGUUGUGCCGUAUGACUGGAGGAUUGCUAAUGUAGUUCCUAUUUUUAAGAAAGGGAAUAAAAGUGAUCCGGGUAAUUAUAGGCCUGUUAGCUUGACGUCUGUAGUAUGCAAGGUCUUGGAAAAAAUUUUAAGGGAGAAAGUAGUUAAGGACAUAGAGGUCAAUGGUAAUUGGGACGAAUUGCAACACGGAUUUAGUAAAGGUAGAUCGUGUCAAACCAAUCUGAUCUCCUUCUUUGAGAAGGUGACGGAUUACUUAGAUAAAGGAAAUGCGGUAGAUAUAAUUUACCUAGAUUUCAGUAAGGCGUU